rnacentral:rRNA from 1 species
AGCACCGGCUAACUCCGUGCCAGCAGCCGCGGUAAUACGGAGGGUGCGAGCGUUAAUCCGAAUUACUGGGCGUAAAGGGCACGCAGGCGGUUAAUUAAGUUGGAUGUGAAAUCCCCGGGCUUAACCUGGGAAUGGCAUUCAAGACUGGUUAGCUAGAGUCUUGUAGAGGGGGGUAGAAUUCCAUGUGUAGCGGUGAAAUGCGUAGAGAUGUGGAGGAAUACCGGUGGCGAAGGCGGCCCCCUGGACAAAGACUGACGCUCAUGUGCGAAAGCGUGGGGAGCAAACAGGAUUAGAUACCCUGGUAGUCCACGCUGUAAACGAUGUCGAUUUGGAGGUUGUGGUCAAGAACUGUGGCCUCCGGAGCUAACGCGUUAAAUCGACCGCCUGGGGAGUACGGCCGCAAGGUUAAAACUCAAAUGAAUUGACGGGGGCCCGCACAAGCGGUGGAGCAUGUGGUUUAAUUCGAUGCAACGCGAAGAACCUUACCUACUCUUGACAUCCAGAGAAGCUUUUAGAGAUAGAGGCGUGCCUUCGGGAACUUUGAGACAGGUGCUGCAUGGCUGUCGUCAGCUCGUGUUGUGAAAUGUUGGGUUAAGUCCCGCAACCAGCGCAACCCUUAUCCUUUGUUGCCAGCGAUACGGUCGGGAACUCAAAGGAGACUGCCGGUGAUAAACC